rnacentral:rRNA from 1 species
GAUGUACGCUAGCGGCAGGCUUAAUACAUGCAAGUCGAGGGGUAGCAAGAUUGUAGCAAUACAAUUGUUGACGACCGGCAAACGGGUGCGGAACACGUACACAACCUUCCUACAAGUGGGGAAUAGCCCAGAGAAAUUUGGAUUAAUACCCCGUAACAUAGCGAUGUGGCAUCACAUUGCUAUUAUAGCUUCGGCGCUUGUUGAUGGGUGUGCGGCUGAUUAGAUAGUUGGCGGGGUAACGGCGCACCAAGUCUACGAUCAGUAGCUGAUGUGAGAGCAUGAUCAGCCACACGGGCACUGAGACACGGGCCCGACUCCUACGGGAGGCAGCAGUAAGGAAUAUUGGACAAUGGACUCAAGUCUGAUCCAGCCAUGCCGCGUGAAGGAUUAAGGUCCUCUGGAUUGUAAACUUCUUUUAUAAGGGACGAAAAAAGGUCUUUCUAGAUCGUCUGACGGUACCUUAUGAAUAAGCACCGGCUAACUCCGUGCCAGCAGCCGCUGUAAGAC